rnacentral:rRNA from 1 species
CUGGCCUUGACAUCUGUCGUAUCCUGCAGAGAUGCGGGAGUGCCGCAAGGAACGACAAGACAGGUGCUGCAUGGCUGUCGUCAGCUCGUGUCGUGAGAUGUUGGGUUAAGUCCCGCAACGAGCGCAACCCUUGUCCUUAGUUGCCAGCACGUAAUGGUGGGAACUCUAAGGAGACUGCCGGUGACAAACCGGAGGAAGGUGGGGAUGACGUCAAGUCCUCAUGGCCCUUACGGCCAGGGCUACACACGUACUACAAUGGUCGGUACAGAGGGUCGCGAAGCCGCAAGGUGGAGCCAAUCCCAGAAAACCGAUCCCAGUCCGGAUUGGAGUCUGCAACUCGACUCCAUGAAGUUGGAAUCGCUAGUAAUCGCGAAUCAGCUAUGUCGCGGUGAAUACGUUCCC